CAAUAGCGUAUAUUAAUGUUGUUGCAGUUAAAAAGCUCGUAGUUGGAUUCCUGACCUGGGGUAGCCGGUCCGCCUUGCAAAAGGUGCGCACUGAGCGGCCUCGGUCAUCCUUGAGGAGAGCGGUCCUGGCAUUCAGUUGUCGGGGUCGGGAUUCUCGACGUUUACUGUGAAAAAAUCAGAGUGUUCAACGCAGGCUUACGCCUUGAAUACAUUAGCAUGGAAUAAUGAGAUAGGACCUUGGCGGUCUAUUUUGUUGGUUUGCACGCCGAGGUAAUGAUUAAAAGGGACGGUUGGGGUUCUUCGUAUUCAAUUGUCAGAGGUGAAAUUCUUGGAUUUAUGGAAGACGAACUGCUGCGAAAGCGUCGAACAAGGACGUUCUCAUUA
rnacentral:rRNA from 1 species